rnacentral:rRNA from 1 species
UAGGGAAUCUUCCGAAAUGGACGAAAGUCUGACGGAGCAACGCCGCGUGAGUGAAGAAGGAUUUCGGUUCGUAAAACUCUGUUGUUAGGGAAGAAAAAAUGUAUAGUAACUAUAUACAAAAGAGACGGUACCUAACCAGAAAGCCACGGCUAACUACGUGCCAGCAGCCGCGGUAAUACGUAGGUGGCAAGCGUUGUCCGGAAUUAUUGGGCGUAAAGCGCGCGCAGGUGGUUUAGAAAGUCUGAAGUGAAAGCCCACGGCUCAACCGUGGAGGGUCAUUUGAAGCUAAUAAACUUGGGUGCAGGAGAGAAAGGUGGAAUUCCUAGUGUAGCGGUGAAAUGCGUAGGGGUUAGGAGGAACACCGGUGGCGAAAGCGGCUUUUUGGCCUGCAACUGACACUGAGGCGCGAAAGCGUGGGGAGCAAACAGG